AACGAACGCUGGCGGCAUGCCUAACACAUGCAAGUCGAACGAGAUCUUCGGGUCUAGUGGCGCACGGGUGCGUAACGCGUGGGAAUCUGCCCUUUGGUUCGGAAUAACAGUUGGAAACGACUGCUAAUACCGGAUGAUGACGAAAGUCCAAAGAUUUAUCGCCAGAGGAUGAGCCCGCGUAGGAUUAGCUAGUUGGUGUGGUAAAGGCGCACCAAGGCGACGAUCCUUAGCUGGUCUGAGAGGAUGAUCAGCCACACUGGGACUGAGACACGGCCCAGACUCCUACGGGAGGCAGCAGUGGGGAAUAUUGGACAAUGGGCGAAAGCCUGAUCCAGCAAUGCCGUGUGAGUGAUGAAGGCCUUAGGGUUGUAAAGCUCUUUUACCCGGGAUGAUAAUGACAGUACCGGGACAAUAAGCUCCGGCUAACUCCGUGCCAGCCGCCGCCGUAA
rnacentral:rRNA from 1 species